rnacentral:tRNA from 1 species
UCCGGCGUCGCCCAAUCGGUAGGGCAGCGGACUGUUAAUCCGUACAGGUACUGGUUCGAGUCCAGUCGUCGGAGCAA